GUAGUGACCUGCGGAGGGAUCAUUACAGAGACUCUGCCCUUUGGGUAGACCUCCCACCCUGUGUCGUUAUACCUUUGUUGCUUUGGCGGGCCGCGGGGCCCCGGCCCUGCCCCUGGCUCCGGCUAGGGCGCGCCCGCCAGAGGACCUCAAAACCUGAACGUUAGUGUCGUCUGAGUACUAUAUAAUAGUUAAAACUUUCAACAACGGAUCUCUUGGUUCUGGCAUCGAUGAAGAACGCAGCGAAAUGCGAUAAGUAAUGUGAAUUGCAGAAUUCAGUGAAUCAUCGAAUCUUUGAACGCACAUUGCGCCCCUUGGUAUUCCGGGGGGCAUGCCUGUUCGAGCGUCAUUACAACCCUCAAGCUCUGCUUGGUCUUGGGCGUCACCGGUCCCCGGUGUGCCUUAAAAUCAGUGGCGGCGCCAUCUGGCUCUAAGCGUAGUACAUACUCUCGCUACAGACGUCCGGUGGAUGCUGGCCAGCAACCCCCAAUUUAUCAAGGUUGACCUCGGAUCAGGUAGGGAUACCCGCUGAACUUAAGCAUAUCAUA
rnacentral:rRNA from 1 species